GAUGAACGCUGGCGGCGUGCCUAAUACAUGCCAGUCGAGCGAACGGACGAGAAGCUUGCUUCUCUGAUGUUAGCGGCGGACGGGUGAGUAACACGUGGAUAACCUACCUAUAAGACUGGGAUAACUUCGGGAAACCGGAGCUAAUACCGGAUAAUAUUUUGAACCGCAUGGUUCAAAAGUGAAAGACGGUCUUGCUGUCACUUAUAGAUGGAUCCGCGCUGCAUUAGCUAGUUGGUAAGGUAACGGCUUACCAAGGCAACGAUGCAUAGCCGACCUGAGAGGGGAAUCGCACACCGUGAAAGGGACACACGUCCCAGACCCCCAGGGGGGGCCGGAGUGGGGAAUCCUCCGAACGGGGCGAAACCGUCAGGGAGCCACGCCGGGUGGGUGAAGAAGGUUUUCGGAUCGAAAAACUCUUAUUUGGGGGAAAACCAUUUUUUUAGAUAACUGUGCACAUUUGAAGGGAACCUAAUAAAAAAGCACCGCUAACUUACGG
rnacentral:rRNA from 1 species